rnacentral:tRNA from 1 species
AAAAAGAUAAGCUAAAAUUAAGCUUUCGGGUUCAUACCUCGAAUAUAAAGUAAUACUUUUCUUUUUA